UGAGGAAUAUUGCAAAAUGGGCGAAAGCCCGAUGCAGCAACGCCGCGUGGGCGAUGAAGGCCUUCGGGUCGUAAAGCCCUUUUUGAGGGGAUGAGGAAGGACAGUACCCUCAGAAUAAGCCUCGGCUAACUACGUGCCAGCAGCCGCGGUAAAACGUAGGAGGCGAGCGUUAUCCGGAUUUACUGGGUGUAAAGGGCGCGCAGGCGGGAUAAAAAGUCAGUGGUGAUAUCCUACAGCUUAACUGUAGAACUGCCUUUGAUACUUUUAUUCUUGAGUUCGGGAGAGAGAGACGGAAUUCCAGGUGUAGUGGUGAAAUACGUAGAUAUCUGGAAGAACACCAGUUGCGAAGGCGGUCUCUUGGUCCGACACUGACGCUGAGGCGCGAAAGCGUGGGGAGCAAACA
rnacentral:rRNA from 1 species